rnacentral:rRNA from 1 species
AUGUCUUCACCGCCGCCAAGCCCGUCUCUUCCGCUGCCGGUCACCUUGUCGCCUCCGGCGACCACCACGACCGUCGCCCCGCUCCUGCCCGCGCCGGGAUCCUCUGUCGCGCCCGCCCCCGCCGUACUCACCUGGGAGGAGGUGUCCGGGGUGCUGCGGGACCUAACCCAGGCGGUCCAGGAGAUCCACCUGUUCUUGGCCGGGUCCUACGGGCCGCACUCGGUUGCGCCGCCCAUCGCCACCCCCGCGCCGCCGUGGCUGCCGUGUCAGCCGCCGCACCAGGCGGCCUUCGCCGCGCUCGCCAGGCCGCUGCAACUGCCAUCCAUCGCCACCACCGCCCAGCCUUGGCUGCAGUGGCAGCCGCCGCUUUUGGCGGCCUCCUCCGCGACCGGCACUCCGACGCAGCAGCCGUUGCCGCUGCCCGGCGUGACAGCGCAGCAGCCGCUGCAGCUGCAGCAGCCAUCGCCAGUCAGCUCCGCCGCCCAGUAUGGGAUGCCCUACGAUGGGAGUGCGACGAUCUCGUUCCCAUCAGCGCCGCCGCCAUCCCAGGGCGUCCACAUCCAGCAGAUCAAGUCCCUGUCGUCGCCGGCACCGCUUCCGUCUUGGAUUACUACCCGCCACGUGUCGGCGGCUGUGAGGCUGCAGGCUGCUGCGCGCGGCCUCCUAGCGCGUCGGCGUGUGCGGGAGAUGCGUGGUCUGUAG